rnacentral:rRNA from 1 species
UUUCACCGGAGCUUGCUCCACCGAAAGAAAAAGAGUGGCGAACGGGUGAGUAACACGUGGGUAACCUGCCCAUCAGAAGGGGAUAACACUUGGAAACAGGUGCUAAUACCGUAUAACACUAUUUUCCGCAUGGAAGAAAGUUGAAAGGCGCUUUUGCGUCACUGAUGGAUGGACCCGCGGUGCAUUAGCUAGUUGGUGAGGUAACGGCUCACCAAGGCAACGAUGCAUAGCCGACCUGAGAGGGUGAUCGGCCACACUGGGACUGAGACACGGCCCAGACUCCUACGGGAGGCAGCAGUAGGGAAUCUUCGGCAAUGGACGAAAGUCUGACCGAGCAACGCCGCGUGAGUGAAGAAGGUUUUCGGAUCGUAAAACUCUGUUGUUAGAGAAGAACAAGGAUGAGAGUAAAAUGUUCAUCCCUUGACGGUAUCUAACCAGAAAGCCACGGCUAACUACGUGCCAGCAGCCGCGGUAAUACGUAGGUGGCAAGCGUUGUCCGGAUUUAUUGGGCGUAAAGCGAGCGCAGGCGGUUUCUUAAGUCUGAUGUGAAAGCCCCCGGCUCAACCGGGGAGGGUCAUUGGAAACUGGGAGACUUGAGUGCAGAAGAGGAGAGUGGAAUUCCAUGUGUAGCGGUGAAAUGCGUAGAUAUAUGGAGGAACACCAGUGGCGAAGGCGGCUCUCUGGU